CGACGCAGAAAGUGACCAGCUGGCAACCCUGCCGCCAACCGUUUCGGAGGCGCCGCGUUAUGCUUUCAAAGCGCCGCGGCAAUGCGAAUGACAGCCGUCACGCGAAUGGGUCUACCUGUCAAAUGAUCAUUUCCGGUUAUUCGCUCCUCACAGUUAUCACACGUUUCAGAGAGAAGAUAGAAGUUUAAGACGGCAUUUUGUGCAGUGAUUAUAAAAAAAACUAGUUAAUAGAAUUACUACAGUGAAUAUUAGUUCAGUGAAUUUCCGUACAAAGCCUGUGAUUCCAAGAGAGUCAGUAUCCGCGUCGAUGACAUCCGUGUCCGUAGUCCGCUGAUCCUGUUAUCGCAAGAUCCUGUAAAGAGAAAAGUCGAAGAUCCGUUUGAAGAUCGAUUGAUCGAUCCGAAGAUCGAUUGAGGUUAGAUUGCCAUAAGGGCGUGUGAGCAACAAAAGCUUACCGAAUUGUAAGUAGAAUAUAUGAAAUAUGAGAAUUUAUACUUACCAAACCUUAACUUCUUAUAGUUUGAAGCACCUGAAUACACUAAUCGCUAUCAAAACCGAUUUGGCUUUAAUUCACGCCCCGAAACCCGACAAACUUCAAAAAUUCGUGGCAACAUGGAUGGAAGUCAGGACAAGGAAGGAUCGAAAGGACGAAAUGGAGAGCAAUCCAGUUGUCCCGAUUGCCAACGACCAGAUAGCGCGGAGGAUAUGGUCCAGUGCGACCAUUGCGACGUUUGGAAGCACUUCACUUGCGCCGGAGUGAAUGCAAGCGUCGCCGGCCGAGCAUUUGUGUGUGGCGACUGUUCUGCUCAGCACACCGAUGACGCAAUUACGGUGCAAAGCGAAUCCAGCCGCGCCAGUUCG